AUUUGAUGAAGUGGACAUUGUAUUUGUAACUCCCCAAUCUUUCGCAAGCUUCGAAGAAUUCCUCCGUAUGCUUCUAUCUAAAAUUUUGGAUCUUGUUUCUUAACU
rnacentral:snoRNA from 1 species